UGUAAUGGUGGCUCAGGCGGGGCAGCCUUCGGGCUGGCCGGUUCUCAUAGUUACCGGUAUUCCUACCCCCGUCUGGGCUACCACCCAU
ncrna:Enterobacter sp. 638 C4 antisense RNA